rnacentral:rRNA from 1 species
CUUAAUAUGGGCGCAGCCUGAUCCAGCCAUGCCGCGUGAGUGAUGAAGGCCCUAGGGUUGUAAAGCUCUUUUGUGCGGGAAGAUAAUGACGGUACCGCAAGAAUAAGCCCCGGCUAACUUCGUGCCAGCAGCCGCGGUAAUA